CGAGUGGCGGACGGGUGAGUAAUGUCUGGGAAACUGCCCGGUGGAGGGGGAGUAACUACUGGAAACGGUAGCUAAUACCGCAUAACGUCGCAAGACCAAAGAGGGGGACCUUCGGGCCUCUUGCCACCAGAUGUGCCCAGAUGGGAUUAGCUUGUUGGUGAGGUAACGGCUCACCAAGGCGACGAUCCCUAGCUGGUCUGAGAGGAUGACCAGCCACACUGGAACUGAGACACGGUCCAGACUCCUACGGAAGGCAGCAG
rnacentral:rRNA from 1 species